AGGGAGGGGGGGUUGCAUUUAUCCAAAGAAGCAGAAGCAGUAGAGAAUUGGUUGCAUAUGUAAAUGGUGAUCAUGAGUAUGCUAUUUUUAACCCAAAUAGCCAAGAAGAGGAAGAGACAUAUGAACGUAAAUUUAAGGACACAAUGGAACAGGGGACAUGGCAUCAUAUUGGGGGGUAUGCGUCCAUGUAUGGGGAGCUACCUGAGCUGAAGAUGAGGAGGAAAGCAAUUUAAGCAUCUGUUGCAAAGAGUGUGAU